AGAUGGGAGCCCUACAAAAGCCAUGGCAAAUCCCUUUAGCAUUACUGCAGCUCCCCUUCUUCUAUAAUGAGUGCACAGAGAAUGGUUCACAUCCAAAAUGGUUGGCAAAUGAUGUUUUGGCGUAUCUGAAAGGAGACGAUCAUUACCCUGCGCUCGUUUGGUAUCCGGAGUAAGGAGAAACAGAAGGAGGUGGCAGCAGGAGGUGGCAGGUUGGCCAUGCCCUUGGUGGGGUGUCAGGGAAAAUGCUGUGCACCCCAAAGGGAUGCGGUGGGCUGGCUGUGCCAGAGGAGGCCAGCAGAGGCUGGAAGGGGAUGGUGUCACCCCUGGGCUGAGCUGGUGACCCAGGCACCCAGCGAAGGGCAGAGAGAGGGGUGGGGUAGGGCUCAUGUCAUCUCCUGGGUGCAGAGGGCCCCCCGUGGUAGCCCUGAUGUGAUGCGGUCCCCAGCGCAGGGACACUGCACGGUGUGCGGGUGUCUCCUUGACACCUUGCUGGUUUGCAGAUGAUGGGACGUGAGCUGCCUCAGCAUCCGCGGUGACCGCAGGUCUGUGCUUUCCUCAGGCCCGGAUCCAAGCGGCCGUUCCUGCGAAGCCGGAGGCCCCCGCCGCCGCCAGCCAAGCCCCAGCCCAAGGGGGUGCUGCUGAGGUUCAACUUCCGCGCCAUGGCCAACCAGGCCAGCCAAAGCCAUCUCCAGACUAACCUCUGGUGGGGUCCGGGAGGUUUAGAAGUGCAGGAGGAACUGUACAGGGUCAGGAGAGACCCUGGAGCAUCCCCGGGAGGGGGACACCAAGACCAAACCGAACACACAGUGAUUUCUUCCUUUAGUCCUGGUAUCAUUGUGUUUAACAGCAUUUGGUGGGGUUUUCUUCCACUGUUGCCUUUUGCUGUUUGCUUUCUGUCUAUUUGUCUGCCUCCAAAGGCCAGUAUUACAAGUGAAUAUGUGUUCCUGUAUGCCCUUUGCAAUUUAUAGACCCAUGCCAUGUUCUCCCUUCCUCAUCACCUUUCUAGAAGAGCCUCAGUGUAUCUACUUGUCCACUGCCACCUUCUGGAUAUAUAUUUUAACUUUUUUUGAGUGUAUAUGAAUUUGUAAUAAAGAUAUCUUAAAAUAAACUAUGUUUAUAUUA
rnacentral:lncRNA from 1 species